AUAACCACUACAACAUGCAGAUGACAUAUCCUUCAAGCUAAAAACUCCAGUAAUAGAGGAUCCUUAACGCCUCUGAACAAAUUCCAUAUUUAGUAAAAGACACAAGCCUCAUUUCAACAUUCAAGAUGCGGCCCCGCCCCACCGCCCAGGCCCCAACCACGGCGUGGCCUCCUCUGGCUCCCAGGUAGGGCGCUGUGGAUGCAGCAGCCUGUGCCUGGGUGGUCAGGUAGGCGCUGUCAGGGCUGCUCCUCUGCGGCCACUUCCCCCUCUACAAGGCUGGCAGCGAACAGGCGUGUGCGUCCAUGGCACACUCAGAGCGCACUGGGGUUCUGGGCUGGCAGACCGCGUGCCCUGCAACCCGAGGCAGCACACAAGCACGCCUCAGGGACCCUGCACUUCUACUUGCCUCAGCUCUGCUGGAGGCCGACAGAGGCUCUGUCCUACCGCCCAUGAUCAGAGUGGGUCGUGCUCCUGGGUACCCCUUCAACAAGGGUCCUCUGAAACUUCACAGUCAGGAUAAAGCUGGUCUCUCCUGAGGAAUCAUUGUAUUCUCCAGCCCCUAGAGCAGGGCCUGACAUGUGGCCGUCCUCGAGAAGUGUUUGUGGAGUGAAUGAGAUGAACAGCAGACACGGAAUGCAGUCCAGAGUACUUCCUUUUUCUGCCUUGGCUAUGAGAGUCUCAAAGCAAAGUUUUCAACUGCAAUUGUUUCACUGCUUUUCUCUUAACAAUUAUAUUUUUGGGGGAGGAUAGGCGGCUCUUACUUUAGAUUUCUGUUUUUAUGAUCGCUUAUUUUUUCUGCCCUUGCAUCCUUAUUUUGUAGCUUGUACAAAAAUAGGGGAUAAGAUGGACAAGGCAGAAACCCUGGACGGGAGAACAUUGUCCACCUGCAAGACAUUGCCUGAUAGCCGGGCAGACCCUGCACCCUGCACUCUGCACGCGGCACAGCUGGAGACUUGCUGCCUGCGCUCCCUGCUACCUCCCUCAGGAAAAAUUCCUGAUGAUAAAGCAUCACAUUAAAUGAAGGACUCAGGAAGACCUGCUGAGCUAAAUGACGGAUUAAUAUUUGGUUGCCUGUCUACAGAUUAGUACCUUAAACAGAUCCCAUAAAGACCUAGGAAAACAAAUCAGGCUGUGGCAACGUGGCUGUGUGCCAAUCACCUCACUUUGCAGGGCUGAGGCAUGGCCCACCGAAGACUCCUGUGGAGUAUGCAGGGACGGACUAGCUCCAGAAAGAU